rnacentral:rRNA from 1 species
UACGUAGGGUGCAAGCGUUUAAUCGGAAUUACUGGGCGUAAAGCGUGCGUAGACGGUUAUUUAAGUCGGGUGUGAAAGCCCCGGGCUCAACCUGGGAAUUGCAUUCGAGACUGAAUAGCUAGGGUACGGUAGAGGGAAGCGGAAUUUCCGGUGUAGCGGUGAAAUGCGUAGAUAUCGGAAGAAACAUCAGUGGCGAAAGCGGCUUCCUGGACCAGUACCGACGUUCAGGCACGAAAGCGUGGGGAGCAAACAGG